CCCCCUGUUAAUAGUUUUCACCAUAGUUGAGGCAGCUACUCUCUGAAUAAGACUACUUGGGAUGAUUCAAGCAGAAUAAUUUCCUUGUUCUGGAAUGGGACAUUGUGAGGAGUGAGUUGCUGGAUCUGGGAUUAUGAUUUGCUGGUUUAGAAGCAGCCAGUGGUUGAACUAGUGAGUAGUUGGAUGAAAGUAUAGAGUCCUUGUUUUUAUGGUAGAUUUCUAGAAAAACCUGAAAUGUUCGUUUUCAGGCUAACCAUAUGUAUCAAUGUACAAAUGAGUGUUUUGAUUUUCUCACUGACCUGUAACAUUGAGAGGUGGGUAAAGAAAACAAAACUCUGCCUUUUUGCUCUACGAAAAGAUUUUAGUCCACAAGGUUUUAAGCUGUGUUCAUUCCUACUCUGAAAAUGUGCAGCAUUGUUCUGGGU
rnacentral:lncRNA from 1 species